GCUGGGCAUGGUGGCGCAUGCCUGUAAUCCCAGCUACUUGGGAGGCUGAGGCAGGAGAAUUGCUUGAACCCAGGAGGCGGAGGUUGCAGUGAGCCAAGAUCAAGCCACUGCACUCCAGCCUGGGUGAUAGAGCGAGUCGCCGUCUCAA
rnacentral:sRNA from 1 species